AGGGGUGUAGCUCAGUUGGUAGAGCAACGGUCUCCAAAACCGUCGGUCGUGGGUUCGAAUCCUGCCACCCCUG
rnacentral:tRNA from 1 species